AAGAAUGACGGAAGGGCCCAUCAGGUCUGGAUUGUGCGGCUCAAUUGGAUUCAACGCCCGAAACCCCACCAGGACAGGAGCGCUCGAUGAAGCACCGGCCGAAUACCUCUGCCGAUGAGCGUGCAGUUGGUGCAUGGCCGCCGUAGUUCGUGAGGUGACUUGUCUGGUUUAUUCCGACAACGAACGCAACCACAAUGCUCUACUAUCCGGCGAGCCCCUCGCGGGUCCGCAAGAAACUGGAGCAGACCAAUCGCUCGACGGGCUCUAGCCCAAGGCGAAGGAAGCUAUGGCGAUGGCAGGUCUGUGAUGCCGCUAGAUGCCCUGGAUCGCACGCGCAAUACAAUGGCGACCCAAGCGCGCAGGUUCGUCCGAGAGGACUUACAAAUCGCACGAAAAGUC
rnacentral:rRNA from 1 species